UUUUGGGGAUUUUCCGCAAUGGCUUAUUGGGGAAUUUCCGCAAUGGGCGAAAGCCUGACGGAGCAAGACCGCGUGAGGGAGGAAGGCUCUUGGGUUGUAAACCCCUUUUCUCAGGGAAGAAGCUCUGACGGUACCUGAGGAAUCAGCCUCGGCUAACUCCGUGCCAGCAGCCGCGGUAAUACGGAGGAGGCAAGCGUUAUCCGGAAUUAUUGGGCGUAAAGCGUCCGCAGGUGGCGAUUCAAGUCUGCUGUCAAAGCCCGGGGCUUAACUCCGUAAAGGCAGUGGAAACUGAAUGACUAGAGUGCGGUAGGGGUAGAGGGAAUUACCCGGUGUAGCGGUGAAAUGCGUAGAGAUCGGGAAGAACACCGGUGGCGAAAGCGCUCUACUUGG
rnacentral:rRNA from 1 species